rnacentral:rRNA from 1 species
GAUGAACGCUGGCGGCGUGCUUAACACAUGCAAGUCGAACGAAGCACUUUAACUUGAUUUCUUCGGAUUGAUUGUUUCUGUGACUGAGUGGCGGACGGGUGAGUAACGCGUGGGUAACCUGCCUCAUACAGGGGGAUAACAGUUGGAAACGACUGCUAAUACCGCAUAAGCGCACAGGACCGCAUGGUCCGGUGUGAAAAAACUCCGGUGGUAUGAGAUGGACCCGCGUCUGAUUAGCUAGUUGGUGAGGUAACGGCCCACCAAGGCGACGAUCAGUAGCCGACUUGAGAGGGUGACCGGCCACAUUGGGACUGAGACAC